rnacentral:misc_RNA from 1 species
UCUCCGUAGGUGAACCUGCGGAGGGAUCAUUACCAAAAAAACACAAGCCAUGUCCCGCGCGUUCCUCUCUCUCUUUUGGGGGAGGGGAAUGUGAGGGCGUGACUUUAUAUCCAAACCCUGUGAACUUGCAUACUUGUUUAUUUGUAGAGGGUGGCACUUUAUCGCCACAACCCUCUACAAACCAACACACACAACCCAUCAACCUUUAUUUGAACCAACAACAAACGAAAUCAAUCAAAACUCCAAACAGUGGAUGUCUUGGUUCUC